UACGUAGGGUGCAAGCGUUAAUCGGAAUUAUUGGGCGUAAAGAGCGCGUAGGCGGUCCGAUAAGUCGGCUGUGAAAGUCAGGGGCUCAACCCUUGAAAGCCGGCCGAUACUGUCGGACUAGAGUCCGGAAGAGGCAAGUGGAAUUCCCGGUGUAGCGGUGAAAUGCGCAGAUAUCGGGAGGAACACCAAUGGCGAAGGCAGGUCUCUGGGCCACAACUGACGCUGAGGAGCGAAAGCGUGGGGAGCGAACAGG
rnacentral:rRNA from 1 species